rnacentral:rRNA from 1 species
GAUGAACGCUGGCGGCGCGCCUAGCACAUGCAAGUCGAACGGCACCCCUCCUCGGAGGGCAGCGAGUGGCGAACGGCUGAGUAACACGUGGAGAACCUGCCCCCUCCCCCGGGAUAGCCGCCCGAAAGGACGGGUAAUACCGGAUACCCCGGGGUGCCGCAUGGCACCCCGGCUAAAGCCCCGACGGGAGGGGAUGGCUCCGCGGCCCAUCAGGUAGACGGCGGGGUGACGGCCCACCGUGCCGACAACGGGUAGCCGGGUUGAGAGACCGACCGGCCAGAUUGGGACUGAGACACGGCCCAGACUCCUACGGGAGGCAGCAGUGGGGAAUCUUGCGCAAUGGGGGGAACCCUGACGCAGCGACGCCGCGUGCGGGACGGAGGCCUUCGGGUCGUAAACCGCUUUCAGCAGGGAAGAGUCAAGACUGUACCUGCAGAAGAAGCCCCGGCUAACUACGUG